rnacentral:rRNA from 1 species
GACGAACGCUGGCGGCGUGCUUAACACAUGCAAGUCGAACGGAAAGGCCCUGCUUUUGUGGGGUGCUCGAGUGGCGAACGAGUGAGUAACACGUGCGUAACCUGCCCUUGACUUUGGGAUAACUUCAGGAAACUGGGGCUAAUACCGGAUAGGAGCUCCUGCUGCAUGGUGGGGGUUGGAAAGUUUCGGCGGUUGGGGAUGGACUCGCGGCUUAUUAGCUUGUUGGUGGGGUAGUGGCUUACCAAGGCCUUGACGGGUAGCCGGCCUGGGACGGUGACCGGCCACAUUGGGACUGAGAUACGGCCCAGACUCCUACGGGAGGCAGCAGUGGGGAAUAUUGCACAAUGGGCGGAAGCCUGAUACAGCAACGCCGCGUGCGGGAUGACGGCCUUCGAGUUAUAAACCGAUUUCGCCUAUGACGAAGCGUGAGUGACGGUAAUGGGUAAAGAAGCACCGGCUAACUACGUG